rnacentral:lncRNA from 1 species
CUCGUGUCGGUCGUAUUGUAAAUUUCAUCUAAUUUCCAUGUCUAUUUUUUACUGACAAGUCCUACAUCAAAUAUAUCAGUACAUAGCUUUGGAUCAAUACUAUCAUUUUAUGAUAGACAAUUAAUAGGGAGAAUACAGCAUAAAAAAUGUCCAACCCUUACACUUUACAGCAACUAUAAAAUAUGCAUGCCCCAAGCCAGAAACCGUUUAAAUAGUGCAUAUAACACUUAUUUUAUGUUUUUUUUAGCCCAAAAAAGGUCCCAAAAAAUUUCCGACUCGCUCCGCUCGGCAAAAUUUAAUAUCUUCGCCCCCCUUUCAAAAAUCCGGGAUCCGCCCCUGAUUUUUACCACAUCAAAUGCACAAUGAGCAAACCCAUAUAUCGCAUUGCCCAGAUCGCAUAGUAUGCUAAAAAAAUAUUUAAAAAAACCAGAAGUAACAGAAAUGUUGUUGUUAAAUCAUUUCAAACGAGAUCACUUAUAUAUAAAAAUAUACAUAUAUGCAGCAACAACUGAACAGCAACAAACACAGCAGUCAAUGUGGCGAGAUGAAAUAAUUUUGUAGGCACCUAGGACUUAUAUAUUAAAAUGUUUCCCAAAUUAAAUGAAGCAUUGGGCCCUAUAAAAAAAAAUCCUGUCAAAAUAGGAAACACAUUUUUAAAAGGGGGUUCCAAAUCUGGAGAUAGGGUUUCCAAAUAGAUUUCCCUUUUCAAAUUUAUGCAUUUAUCGUUAAAAAGGGGUCCAACCUUCGGACCCCUCCCCCUUCUUACGCCGAGGGGUGUACCGCACCUCCCUUUAUCCAAUCAUAUGUUUAGAAAGUCAGGCUGAUCAUUUCACAAAUAUCAAUUUGACAAAUAUUAAUACUAUAAUCUAUUUAAUAAGGUUUGGCAAAGAAGUAAUAAUAUGUAUAUCCAAAACAACCCGCGAUUUUAUACCUAUUUUGACAUUUACAGAAAGUUCUGUAACCAGAGGCGGAUCCACCCAUUGUUUUAAAAGAGGGUUCCAAACACAGGCACUUGUU